rnacentral:rRNA from 1 species
UCUGGAUUCAGCGGCGGACGGGUGAGUAAUGCCUAGGAAUCUGCCUGGUAGUGGGGGACAACGUUUCGAAAGGAACGCUAAUACCGCAUACGUCCUACGGGAGAAAGCAGGGGACCUUCGGGCCUUGCGCUAUCAGAUGAGCCUAGGUCGGAUUAGCUAGUUGGUGAGGUAAUGGCUCACCAAGGCGACGAUCCGUAACUGGUCUGAGAGGAUGAUCAGUCACACUGGAACUGAGACACGGUCCAGACUCCUACGGGAGGCAGCAGUGGGGAAUAUUGGACAAUGGGCGAAAGCCUGAUCCAGCCAUGCCGCGUGUGUGAAGAAGGUCUUCGGAUUGUAAAGCACUUUAAGUUGGGAGGAAGGGCAGUAAAUUAAUACUUUGCUGUUUUGACGUUACCGACAGAAUAAGCACCGGCUAACUCUGUGCCAGCAGCCGCGGUAAUACAGAGGGUGCAAGCGUUAAUCGGAAUUACUGGGCGUAAAGCGCGCGUAGGUGGUUCGUUAAGUUGGAUGUGAAAUCCCCGGGCUCAACCUGGGAACUGCAUUCAAAACUGUCGAGCUAGAGUAUGGUAGAGGGUGGUGGAAUUUCCUGUGUAGCGGUGAAAUGCG